UACGUAGGGUGCGAGCGUUGUCCGGAAUUAUUGGGCGUAAAGGGCUCGUAGGCGGUUUGUCACGUCGGGAGUGAAAACUCGGGGCUCAACCCCGAGCCUGCUUCCGAUACGGGCAGACUAGAGGUAUGCAGGGGAGAAUGGAAUUCCUGGUGUAGCGGUGAAAUGCGCAGAUAUCAGGAGGAACACCGGUGGCGAAGGCAGCUCGCUGGGACGGUACUGACGCUGAGACGCGAAAGCGUGGGGAGCAAACAGG
rnacentral:rRNA from 1 species